rnacentral:lncRNA from 1 species
AUGAAUGUCCUGACUAUGACUGGUCCACCUAGCUAUCUGGAGAUAAAUGUACUGACUAUGACUGGUCCACCUAGCUAUCUGAAGAUGAAUGUCCUGACUAUGACUGGUCCACCUAGCUAUCUGGAGAUGAAUGUACUGACUAUGACUGGUCCACCUAGCUAUCUGAAGAUGAAUGUCCUGACUAUGACUGGUCCACCUAGCUAUCUGAAGAUGAAUGUACUGACUGUGACUGGUCCACCUAGCUAUCUGAAGAUGAAUGUCCUGACUAUGACUGGUCCACCUAGCUAUCUGGAGAUGAAUGUACUGACUAUGACUGGUCCACCUAGCUAUCUGGAGAUGAAUGUACUGACUAUGACUGGUCCACCUAGCUAUCUGGAGAUGAAUGUACUGACUAUGACUGGUCCACCUAGCUAUCUGAAGAUGAAUGUCCUGACUAUGACUGGUCCACCUAGCUAUCUGGAGAUGAAUGUACUGACUAUGACUGGUCCACCUAGCUAUCUGAAGAUGAAUGUACUGACUAUGACUGGUCCACCUAGCUAUCUGGAGAUGAAUGUCCUGACUAUGACUGGUCCACCUAGCUAUCUGGAGAUGAAUGUACUGACUAUGACUGGUCCACCUAGCUAUCUGGAGAUGAAUGUACUGACUAUGACUGGUCCACCUAGCUAUCUGAAGAUGAAUGUCCUGACUAUGACUGGUCCACCUAGCUAUCUGAAGAUGAAUGUACUGACUGUGACUGGUCCACCUAGCUAUCUGAAGAUGAAUGUACUGACUAUGACUGGUCCACCUAGCUAUCUGGAGAUGAAUGUACUGACUAUGACUGGUCCACCUAGCUAUCUGAAGAUGAAUGUACUGACUAUGACUGGUCCACCUAGCUAUCUGGAGAUGAAUGUACUGACUAGGACUGGUCCACCUAGCUAUCUGGAGAUGAAUGUACUGACUAUGACUGGUCCACCUAGCUAUCUGGAGAUUAAUGUACUGACUAUGACUGGUCCACCUAGCUAUCUGGAGAAUAAUGUCCUGACUAUGACUGGUCCACCUAGCUAUCUGGAGAUGAAUGUACUGACUAUGACUGGUCCACCUAGCUAUCUGGAGAAUAAUGUCCUGACUAUGACUGGUCCACCUAGCUAUCUGAAGAUGAAUGUACUGACUAUGACUGGUCCACCUAGCUAUCUGGAGAUGAAUGUACUGACUAUGACUGGUCCACCUAGCUAUCUGGAGAUGAAUGUACUGACUAUGACUGGUCCACCUAGCGAUCUGAAGAUGAAUGUCCUGACUAUGACUGGUCCACCUAGCUAUCUGGAGAUGAAUGUACUGACUAUGACUGGUCCACCUAGCUAUCUGGAGAUGAAUGUACUGACUAUGACUGGUCCACCUAACUAUCUGAAGAUGAAUGUACUGACUAUGACUGGUCCACCUAGCUAUCUGGAGAUGAAUGUACUGAUUAUGACUGGUCCACCUAGCUAUCUGGAGAUGAAUGUACUGACUAUGACUGGUCCACCUAGCGAUCUGAAGAUGAAUGUCCUGACUAUGACUGGUCCACCUAGCUAUCUGGAGAUGAAUGUACUGACUAUGACUGGUCCACCUAGCUAUCUGGAGAUGAAUGUACUGACUAUGACUGGUCCACCUAACUAUCUGAAGAUGAAUGUACUGACUAUGACUGGUCCACCUAGCUAUCUGGAGAUGAAUGUACUGAUUAUGACUGGUCCACCUAGCUAUCUGGAGAUGAAUGUACUGACUAUGACUGGUCCACCUAACUAUCUGGAGAUGAAUGUCCUGACUAUAAGUCACUCUGGAUAUGAGCGUCUGAUAAAUGACGAGGAUGGGUAUAUGUAUAUCUAUUUGCUUGUCAUGGUCACAUGGUCUGGGCAGCCAUUUUACCUCUAG